ACGCCUUAUACAUGCAAGUCGAACGAAGUAGCAAUACUUAGUGGCAGACGGGUGAGUAACAUGUAGGUAUCUUCCCUUUGGUGAGGAAUAACACGAGGAAACUUGUGCUAAUACCUCAUAAGUCUUUACGGAGAAAGCUUUAUGCGCCGAAGGAUGAGCCUGCACUUGAUUAGUUUGUUGGUGGGGUAAUGGCCUACCAAGACUUUGAUCUAUAGCUGAUCUGAGAGGAUGAUCAGCCACAUUGGGACUGAGACACGGCCCAAACUCCUACGGGAGGCAGCAGUAGGGAAUAUUGCACAAUGGAGGAAACUCUGAUGCAGCGAUGCCGCGUGAGUGAAGAAGGCCUUUGGGUUGUAAAGCUCUUUCGUCGGGGAAGAAAAUGACUGUACCCGAAUAAGAAGGUCCGGCUAACUUCGUGCCAGCAGCCGCGGUAAUACGAAGGGACCUAGCGUAGUUCGGAAUUACUGGGCUUAAAGAGUUCGUAGGUGGUUAAAAAAGUUGGUGGUGAAAUCCCAGAGCUUAACUCUGGAACUGCCAUCAAAACUUUUUAGCUAGAGUAUGAUAGAGGAAAGCAGAAUUUCUAGUGUAGAGGUGAAAUUCGUAGAUAUUAGAAAGAAUACCAAUUGCGAAGGCAGCUUUCUGGAUCAUUACUGACGCUGAGGAACGAAAGCAUGGGUAGCGAAGAGGAUUAGAUACCCUCGUAGUCCAUGCCGUAAACGAUGUGUGUUAGACGUUGGAAAUUUAUUUUCAGUGUCGCAGCGAAAGCAUUAAACACACCGCCUGGGGAG
rnacentral:rRNA from 1 species